rnacentral:misc_RNA from 1 species
UACGGAGGGUGCAAGCGUUAUCCGGAUUCACUGGGUUUAAAGGGUGCGUAGGUGGGUUGCCAAGUCCGUGGUGAAAUCUCUGAGCUUAACUCAGAAACUGCCGUGGAUACUGGUAGCCUUGAAUAUCGCGGAGGUAAGCGGAAUAUGUCAUGUAGCGGUGAAAUGCUUAGAUAUGACAUAGAACACCGAUAGCGGAGGCAGCUUACUACACGAUAAUUGACACUGAGGCACGAAAGCGUGGGGAGCAAACAGG